UAUAACCACAUUUACGUGCAAUAUGCAACAACUGUUUUCUUUGCUUCAGUAUUUUUGUGUCUCUGGCAAAGUUAAUCAUCAUAUUCAUGUCAUUUAUUUAGGAGGGAUCCCAAUUACUGACUGCAUCAGGCGACCAAUCUGUAAAGAUAUGGAGCAUGGAGAAUAAGAAAUGCCUUGGUGUGCUGUCAGGGCACACUAGAAGUGUGAAGUCACUGACAUGCCAUUCUUCAAAUCCUGAUCUUAUUAUUUCUGGUUCAAGAGACGGUUCUUUUGCACUUUGGGAUCUAAGAUGUGACCCCCAAACCCCAAAUGGUCAUGGUGAAGCAUGACUCAUGUGUCGAAUUGUUGAUGGAGGCUUCAGGUCGUCCUUCUCAAGGAGAUAAGGCUGGCCAUUAAGGAUCUGGGGUGAAGGUCAUGUCAUCUCUUCUCGUGGCUCUACUGCCCACUGCUUCCACUGCUGAUAUUUUGAGCUCUUUGAUCAGAGCAAGCACCAUGGGAAGGAAAGAUGUUGGGGGCGUGAACUGUCCCGACAACGACACUGUUGCCUGCUGACUAUGUGCAGGACUACCUGGCUCGACCUCUAUCUCAAUGAAAAUUAGGAACCUGAAGGGAAAAUGGAAGGCGCCUUUGAUGGACAUUCAGCCCGGAGUACAAGGAUGAUCCCUACAUCUAUACUUUUGAUAUGCUGAAGCACAUUGGCAUUGAGCCAAGGCAGCGUGUUGUGUUUGUACUUCAAGCUGGCAGAGUACAGAUCACUUUCAUGGUCCAAAUUACUAGCAUCAAUCGAAUCAUGGACACAAGAUUUCAGUACCCUGUAAUAAUCUCUUAGGUGACUUUUGGACAAGUACACGCCCAGAUUUUUGGGAUUAAUAACACCGGGCACCAGACUCUAAACAUGGGUCAAGCUGGAGCGACUCAAGAUGCAGCUUGAAUUCUGGUACACUAUAUGAGUGAUUCAAAUUUGCUCAAGGUUAACAAUAGCUUGCAUGGAGCCAACCGGAGGAAGGACUCUUGAUGCUAAAGUUUACAAUCCUCCCAACAACCAGUUCUUGCCACGGACACUGAAUGUUGUGACGUCAAUUUGGGAGCCACGGGAUGGAUCCCUUUCAGAGCGAUCUAGACGCCCUCGAUGCCUCGACAACUUCACGGGCGUCUGAAGUGUAAACUGACAUCAUACUUAUAACUAGUCAGUUUAGCGAUAAACCCUACAUUUUAGUUUUUUGCUAGGUGUCCUAUAUGCACUUUUAAUUUUUUAUAGGUGUGGAUAACUUCUUGAAAGCUAAAUCAGCCCAUAUUGUAUGUGAUUUUCCGUGAGGCAGACUAAAUUGGCAUCUUGAGGAUUCAUGCUUCAUGUAUCAUACAAGUGAUCCAUUCAUAGCUUCAUCUGUUGCGCUCUUACAUAUUGUAUUCUGCUAUAGAGUAUAAAUAGUACUCUUCCUUGGAGUUGAAUCCAUGUAUCAUGAUUUUUGGUCGAUACAGUCCUAUAGUUCCCCACAAGAAAAGGACUUUGGUUGUGGCUAACUGGGUUCUCUCUGCCUCUCACAAGUUUUGUUUAUUACUAUACUACUAUUAUUUAGUUAGAUAACUUGGACUGUCUAAUAGGAGUUCUUACUCACUGCUAGAGAUGCUAACUGAUUCUCUCCGGCUCUCACAAGUUUGUCCUUGUGUUAUCUCUUAUUCAGGGUAAAAAUAAUGCCCAGAACAAAGAAACUAUGUAUUG